UUCUGUAUACGUUUCGUAAAGAGUUGGUUCUUCUAAGAUCUAAUAAAGCCAGUUUGCGAGGUGUGUACAUGCAUAAUCAUUCGUCUUGCAUAUCAUAUAUACCAUAUGAUUACGAAUAACCACACUGAAUUCUGUAUACGCUUCGUAAAGAGCUGGUUCCUCGAAGAUCUGAUGAAGCCAGUUUACAAGGUGAAGCCAGAUUGCAAGAGGUGGUUCUUCAAAUAUCUGAUGAAGCCAGUUUGCAAGAUGAAGCCAGUUUGCAAGAUGUACUCUUGAAGGUGAUUGAACGGGCGAGACCAUGGGCGCCGUUCUUCUUGGCCGGACUAGUCAGCACGGCCUACGGCAUGGUUAUUGUGUUCUUCGCCGGGGGCCAGCCGGCAAGUGCCUUCUUCCUUGGUGAUUUCGGUGUCUGCUUCAUUCUCGUCGGCUUGAUUGUGAUCAUCGCCAGAAGCCAGCAUGAACGAACACAGGAUGACAAGGGCCUUUGGGCUGGUACUUCCCUUGUCUUUUACAUUUUGGUGCUCCUUCUGGCCGCUUUCAUAGGAAAUCGUACUAGUGCUUGAUUCCAGUCUGUUCUACUACUACACGUCCUGUAGUAUUACUGCUGUUCCCUUUUCACACUAAAAUGUAACGUCCAAAUUUACGAUCACUCUUAAGUCCUAUAUUCCAUCAUCUGCUGCGUCAGGUGGCUCUUACAUGACGAUGAAGGCUCUGCUUUCGCUUGUGUGAGUAGAAAGGUCGUGUGUGGUGUGGUAUGCUGGUAGCAGGCUGUGCCGUUCUGUUAGUUUGUCUAAGGUUGUUCUGUGCUGUGCUGUUACCUGUUAUUUGCGCCCUUUGCUGGCAUGUAAGAUACUAUGUUAUGCUUUCAAGUAAAGCUGGGUAAUAAUGAGCUUUUUA